GACCUUUCUCAGAAAAAGAAGAGAAUGACACCCGACUCUUCUAUUUUUAACUUGUUUUGGUAUUCUCUUACUAUUUUUGUCUUCCCCUUUUCUUUCUCAUAAUCCCUAGUUCUGAUAUAUUAUUCUUACUCAGCCUUUUUCACUCACUUGAUUAUUAAGCUAGAGUUUGCGGUAGCAAUCUCAAUUGGUUUCAGCACAGAAGAGUUAAUGAGAAUCCCUGCUGGUAGAAGAAGGAAGUACCAUGAUGACGUGACCGUGAUUGUAGUCAUACUUGGUAGCAAUCUGCGCACGUCAAAGGCCUCAACUGUUCUAUAGAAUAACAGGGUUAAUACAAAAACAAGUUGGGCUACUCCAUGAUCACCUAAAAGGGUCUGUUUUGAUCAUGGAUCUACUAUGAAGAUGAUGACGAUAAAGAAGAUGGCGAUGGGCAUUAACAAGGAUAGGAACACGAGGAAAAAAAAAUUGGUAGACCCGAAGGGGGCCAUUUUUUCUUAAUGGAAUUCAUGAUUUACCUCCCAACAAAUUUCUCUCAGAGAAUGAUACGUUGGUACAUUAUUAUAUAGAGGUUAGGCACAUUUAAAUGCACAAAAAUAAGGUGCUCCUUUUUAACCUGUGUAACACUGCCUUAAAUUUCUUCUCAAGUGCAGAUUCUUUUCUGUUUUGUUUUGUGUUUUUUUUACAAGUUGUAAAUAAAGAGCAAUGUUAUAUAUGUAUGUAGUUUGCAUGAGUACCUAUUGUAAAAAGCUCACCAGUCA